AAUGAGACAGCAUACGUUUCACUGUGUGACGGGGCCUUAAAGAAGCAGUCUUGUAUGUUACAGUGUUGGAAAGUAGCUAGAUAUCGAUUGCUGCUGCUGCUCCUUCAUGAAUGUCAGUAACGCUGUUACGCUGAUAUUUCCAGCUGGACUGAAGAGAUGGACCAACCAACAGACCUGAAAACCUCUGCAACUAUCUGCCUGGCCAGAUUCUCAUCGGGAAAGUUUGAGGGUUACCUGCCGGCCCUUCUCCUCCUUUAGUGUGUGAAUCUCCUUGCCGAGGAUCUGGGACCUGCUGCGGCUCUCUCUCAGGGUGGACUUUCUGUCUGAGUUGUGCCCUGUGGUCUGCUCUGAAAGGGUUCAACAACAGCGAAGAGAGAAAAAGCAGAGGAUAGUAAGCAUGUUAACAGUGAACGAAGAAUAAGAAAAUGGAGAAAAGAUGAGUGAAGUAAAUGGGGGCCAACAAAUGAGACUCUUUUCUGAUGCUUUGUUAACCAUGGAGGCUUGCAAGACAAAUUCAAUGUAUAACUGAUAUAUCAAUGAUCAUUUAGUGGGUGAAGUAUUCCUUUAAGAUGUUUUUCAGGGUUUCAUAAUAUGUGAAGUGUAUAAAGAUAAAAAGAUGGUAAUUGUUGUUGUAUUAACUUGCUUCUGGAACUUAUUGAAGUUACUUUUAAUAAGUUACAAACAAUGAGUAGGGAAAUUUGUACUACAGACACAUGUGUGCUGACU